ACGAGACUAGUCCAUUUCCUUAACGCACACGUUUCACUUUAACAACAAACUAAUAACUUUUUGAUAACACAGUGUAUCAAUAAACAACUAAUUUAAAGCGAUGUUCACAUCUAUAAACUUUAAAUCCGAUUAAUUUGUUAAAUUGACAUUAAGAUAGUGUGUGAUUAGUUGUGUGUAAAAUGGUAGAUUCCGACAAAAGACGAAGUUCGAAGGGUCAAAGUUAAGUUUGCCUGAAGUAAACAUAAGGCUCAAAGUCUGAAGAUCCCAAACUACCACUUUUUUUUUUUUUUUUUUUUUUUUUUGGGAUGUUUCUGAGCUGCGGUAUUAUGCAGUAUUCAGUCAGAGCGGGUUUCUCUCCAAUGCAACACAGCAGGCCAAACGUGAGCAGGGCUUGAUGUUCAAACACCUGCCGACUGCUGAGGAGCUUUAUUUUUAAAAUCUGCAACUCUGGAGCUCAGCUUCUCACUGACUGCAAAGAAAAGUCUUUUGAGAAAGUUCAGGCUCAGUAACCGUCACCCAUAAGGCAGAUCUGAGCUGUGUCUGUUUGUCAUUGGAUGCAUCCAAUCUCAGCACUGUUUGGCUGAGCUCUGAACUGGUUCUCACCAUCACCUUAUUUCUCCCAAGUAAGCAGAGCCUGAACUUUAGGCCUGGGUUCUGUUCUGUCAGAAAGCAUCGGGAUUGAAGGCAACGUGGCUGAGAGUUUACACUGUGGCCAGUCAGGCUAGCAGAGGAUUAGAGGUGACUUGAAGGGAUGGUUUGCAAAGCACAGACGAGAGGCAGUCAACUACACCUCUGAUUCUGUUCAAGGCUGUUUUGACUGCCAGUCAAGGAUUUGGGGUCGCAGAGAAAAUGUGAGGUGUUGGACAGCUUUGCAGGCAGCUCUACCUGGAUUGGUGGGAUCGAGUUGUGUCUGACCUUUGGGUUACGUUAACAAGAAAAGUGCCAGCCCUUGAAGUCCUCUUCACUUCAUCUCCGAACUCACUGAAGGUUUUGCAGGUUUCCAUCAGCAAGUGGUGCGGUGGAACUCCAGUGUAUGUGACAAGGAGCCUCAUAAAUCCUGGCAGUGUUGGAACUGCUUUUGAAAUAUGAUGUAAACUUUGCUCAGAUGUAAAUAUUAAUUACCUGCUGUUGAUGCAACUAUUAAGUAACAUGGUGUAGCCUUUAUUGGGAAAUCUUGUGGGUUGAAACCCAUGGUCAUCGGCAUGGUCUUUCUUAUGAAGCUCUUUGAGCAAGGAAGUCUUGCUAUUUAACCAAGUUAAGAAGCAUGGUUAUGAAUGAGACAGGUCACUGGUGUACAUAUGAAUGGGAGACAUGGUAACACUGAAUAAGGCGGCUCUAGAAAUGGAAGUCCCUCCUGACAGUUAAAAGAGCCAGUCACCUUUUUAUAGAGACAAUGCCUGUCAGCUAACUCUAGAAUGUGCAGGAAUAUUAGCUAGAACAGCCUGAAAAAUAGAAUUGCUGAUUUGAAAUAUGUUCAACAUAAUCUUGACCAACCGUUUAGGAGAUUUCAAUCUUUACCUAUUCCAGUAGAUUGGAGCUGUACGCCGCUUCUAUGCCGCUUGUAUCCAUAGAAAACUGCUGCUUGGAGAUCGAAUUUCCAAAAUGUACGAUGACGGGAGUCAUUUAUAUUUAGGAAAGUGAUACCUAAUUGGACAACUUAGUUAUAUUAAUCAGGAAAGUGCUUCCUGAUUGGUCGGAGAAACAAUAACCUAACCCUUACCCUAAACCCAACACAUUAGAGUAGUGCUAAAACAAAUAAUUCACUACAAAUUACUAACUACUUCUCUAAAGAUUUUAAUCAGAUUACUGAUUACUUCAUCGGAAAAGCAGUCACUUUACUAAUUAUUUUAAAUAACUUUUUAAAACACUUGUCACAAAAUAAUUUUUGUUUUUCCGCUCAACAAAUUCAAAAUAAUGUCUAUUUUCACCUUGUCUAUUGCUGCAAAUCCUUCAGCUGUCACAGAAAUGCAAACAGACAUACAUAUGAACAUAUGAAUUCACAUUUCAAACUGUAUUACACAAUAUAUUUUUCAAAAUAUUUGUAACCCAAGUAAUGUACUUAAAAGUAAUUACUUUCAUUGGAAGUCAGUAGCUGUAAUCUGAUUACAAGAAUUAAAAAAAUAUAAUGCAUUACACUACCUUUUGUGCCUAAAAGUUAUUAGAUUACAGUAACUAAUUAUUUAUCAAUCUGAUUACACCCAACACUGCUCUUCCCCUGCCAUCAUACAUUUUGGAAUUCAGCGCCCAGAGGCGUUACAAACAUGGCUGCCGAGUGACCUGACUUGACUUAGAGGGAAAACAAAAGGUUUGCAAAAGUGUUUUUCUAAACAAAGUCCUUCUAUGUCUUUGCAAUUAAAUAGAUUCACAGUGUUUUCUGACGCAAUGUUAACUCUAGUGUGUAGGUGCCCAAAGGGUUCUGAACUGUCACCAGUAAAUACACUGUAUUCAAGGGAAGAACUAUCACCAUUAUUCCCAUGAGCAAGGCUCUUAACCCCAGAUUGCUCCAGUGGAGUUAUCCCUAUAUUAAGCAUACUCUAAGUCCCUUUGGAUAAAAAUGUCAGCUAAAUGACAUACUUGAUAAAUUAGCUAAUUCAGAACUUGUUGUCUUCUACCAUUGAUGGGCGCGACCUGCAGUCCUAAGCUGUUCACUAGUAUGGAGAGAGAAAAAAAUAUGAUGAUGAGCAACUGGCAACCAGACAGAAAUACCUGUUAACCAAUUCUGGGCAGUAUUUAGAUAUAGGCCAAAACAGAGGGCAUGGAAGUGUUGCUGACCCAGUCAAUGCCAGAAGGCUGUAACAGCACAGACUCUCUCUGCAGUGUUCUGGCCAAUCCUGUGAGAGUUAGAUGUAUCAUGAAAAUUGAUCUAUGCACAAUCCAAGCCUGAGCUUUCUGUUCGACACCAAUCUUCAAAACUUUACUUACUCUGGUAGUCAAAGUGAUAAAGUGCAAGUGAGAAAAGAGCAAGGCGUGGGCAUCUGGACACACAAUAGCUGGCUGAACCCCAUCCAAAAAAAGUGUUGUGAUAGCAGCAAAUGUGCUCCUGUGAUUUUGGGGGUGCAUUCUGCACGCUUAGCUCUCGAAAUGAGUUUGAAGUGUGAAAGUUGAUUAGCAGCAAAUACAACAGUCGCUCGUCUUGCUGACAGAAAAGGAGUUUGUUCUACUUGAGAGGAUUUAGGCAAGCUUUUAUUUAAUCUCGGAAUCAGCCGCGGCUCAACGAGCCAUUUGUUUAACAGAGAGAUGCACUGCUAUGUGUGUCAAUGUGUCAGCUCUAAGCACACAAAUCUGGCAACUGUUGAUCUGGAAUUCCCGUUGGUGUCAAUCUUUCAGAGGAUGAAACAAAGCUGGCUGACUGAAUUACCUCUCCCAGUAUGUUUUAUUUCACACUUUGACUUAUCAGGCAUCGAGUCCUCAUAUUCUACCUCAGAAAUAGCUGUUGAUCCUAUCCAACAUCUCAGUUGCAAUUUGACUUGACACAGCAUGGUUAAAAUAGCUGUGAAAUCACAAACAACAGGGCUUGUGGACAUUUAAGUAAAAAAAGAAGCAUGUCUUGAACUUUUAAAAACUGAAUGUUAAAGAUGACGAAUGCAUUUUUAAAAAGUUACAAGUUAAAAUACUUCUUCCAAUGAGAUUAGCUAAAUAUGAAAUUAUGUCAUUAUUAAAUACUCAUCCCACCAGGUGGUUAACCUUAGUCGCCAUUCACUUUCAUUGCAUUGUUUUUCCUACAAUUAAAGUGAAUGGGCAAACAUUCAGCCUAACAUGACCUUUUAUGUUCCACAGAAGUAUUGACCAAUGGCAAACAGAGUGAUAGUUUUGGAAACUUGUUUACAAUUCUAUUUGGUGGCGCAGAAUUGAGACACUUCACCUUUAAUUCUCAGUUCUGCUGUUUUAAAAACAUUUGAGUCAAUCUCACGUCACUUAUGCAAAAGCCUGGCAGAUUGUUUAUCAUGGAGAGUCUUGGCUACAUGCAAAAUGUGUAUUGCUCUGUAAAAGAGAUGCAGCAGUGCAGAUAAUUGAUUUGCUUAUUUUGUUUUGUGCCGAUAGGCCUCCAUUUAUUUAUUCCACAGCGAAAUUGUCAAAGGCAAUUUGAGGGCAGAUGGCACGCAUACCGAUCACAUAAGCGCGCUCUUAAACUCACAAUGCAAGCGUCCUACCCUGAACCACACAUAUAUCAAUGCAGAUGAAAAUGCCCUGCUGGACUAAUUAUCACAGAAUAAUUAAAGAUAUGACCAGCAUGGAGAGGGGAGAGGAGGAGAGGGGGGUCUUGUCUGAAGGUGGUCCUGAUGAUGGAGUAAACAAAGGCUCUGUGUGCAGCCCCCAGGAGAUGAUUAUGAAUCAAAAGGUCAAAGCUUAUACGAGAGCAAGCGGAAGGGGGAAGGGAGAGCGAGCGAGGCAGAGAUGCAGAGAAAGAGAUGAGCGAAACACAAGUUUGUUGCCUUUUCAGUGUAUUCAAAUGUUUAAGUGUAGCCACUUGACCAUGAGGCCUGCAUGGCCCUGUUGAGAGCUUUUAUGCGCCACAACAGCGCAAGACUGACGGCUGUUUCGCGAAAACACUAGAGUUGCACUAAUAGCCUUGAGCGAAUGGUCAGAAAGCCUAUUCUCUUGACAUUCAAUAAUGACGUUUAAAAUAUAACUCCUGCUAUAAUGACCCUCAGUGUUGAAGUACUCGAGACCGGACUCAGUCUCUAGUCUGAGUCCAAGUCCAUGUUUUUAUGGUCUUAGUCUUGUUAUGGACUCGUGAGCAAUUUGGCUUGGUCUUGACUCGAACAAGCGUGGACUCUGACUUAACCCCGAGUCCAGUCGAGUCGCUUUUCCAAAAAUAUACAGUGAAAGCUUCGACUUAUCUAAUAUUUUUGACUGACAAUAUCAGAGAUCCUGUCCCACAUGUCAGUCUGUUGCCAUCCACUGCGGCAACCACGCUCAACGCACCACGCGCCCCACCGAGAACGAACCAUAUUAUAGCGAUCACAAGGAGGUUACCCCAUGUGACUCUACCCUCCCUAGCAACCGGGCCAAUUUGGUUGCUUAGGAGACCUGGCUAGAGUCAGCACGCCCUGGGAUUCGAACUAGCGAACUCCAGGGGUGGUAGCCAGCGUCUUUACCACUGAGCUACCCAGGCCCCCUUUUAAAAACAUUUUUUAAAAGCGCAAACACACAUAUACACACAUGCACAGGCACACUCAUCAGUCAACGAAUACGAUUGAAUGUUACUACAGAGACUUCUGUAUAACAUCAACUACCGAGGUGGCUGGCAUGACGAAAACAUAAAGAUAGGUAUGUAUCCAAUGUAAUAGAAUCUAAAAAAGGCAGUUUCACACGACACGAGACCUGAAAACUGGUAAAAUUGCAUGUGGCAUUUGUGUAGCCAAGACGGUGCUCGCAUUGCGGUUUCAUCGUGGUUAAAAACUUAAAAUCAAAAACUUAAUUGAGUCAAGUCACCCACAUCAUGUCUCUCACAGUUUACUAAAAACAGCAUAUCGAAAUAAAAAAACAUAAAUAUAGUAUUCAUAUUGGAUAUUAAGUCUUUUUAGGCUUCUGUAGCCUUUUUUUGUGGUCCACGCAGUGUUGUCAGUUUGAACUGGUCCAUAAUAGCUUGAUGAAUUAACUGUGUAACUUUUUAAAUAGUUGGGGGAAAAAGCAUUAUUGCUAAAGCUGACUGCAACUCUACACAGAUAAACAGCACCUAUUUAUUAUUGAUUGACUAUUUUCAAAGCAUUGACAAGCUGCUUAAAAAUACAUUCUUUUACAGUAUUUGUCCUCCAUUCACAACAUUAAACCAUGCACAAUAAAAUAUUUGGAUAUUUUGGGCAGUGAAAUGUUUUGUUUAUAAUUUAAUUAUAGACUAUAAAAUAAAUGUAUUAUUCGAUGACAAAGUUUGUGUAUGAAGCUCAACUUCAUGUUAUGUGAUGAAUUUAGUUGGUUACGACAUUUUUAUUUUAAAUGUUUAUUUUAUUUUAUUGUAAACCACCGGGUAACUUAUGCACAUCUUUUUUUAGCCUAUAUCUCUGACACUUUUGAAGGACAAUUUUGUAAAAAUUAUGACUUAAAAUUAUUAUUCUCCAUGUUUUUGUGGUUAAAGAAGAGCUCAAUUAAGUUUUCUUUGUUGUUAUUUAAAGAUUUCAAACUGAUUGCAGACCAACGCGGCUGCUGCUCAAGCAAUUAUCAGUUAUUAUAAUUUUUUUUUAUCUUUUGCGACAGCUGCUGCGAGACGCACACGGACACAUCAGGGAUUUAGGUACACAAACAGCACGCAGAACUGCCCUGCAUUGUGCGGUUUCUCGCAAAUUAACUAGAAAAUCAUGUCUGUGAUGACAUAGCUCUAAUAUUAUCAGUGGGCUUUUCCAUUGUUUUUGGAUGUAGCAUUUGCAGUCAAAUCGUGAGACGUAACUUCUCGGCGAGUGCUAAUUACUACUGUGUUGACUCAUUUGGAAAGUAUGUAUUUUCCCAAAUCACUCGGUAGAUAGAAAAAAAAGAUUCAGAAAGAAAUCUCAGUAUAGACUAUUAUUUCUUUAGAUAGGGAUAACCUUAAAUAAAACUAAAUUAAAUUGAAUUGACAAAUUGAAAAUGAACUAGAAAUAAAAACAAAAUUAAAAUUCGAAAUAAUAAUUGGUUGUAAUGACUAACGCAGCUUUCACUUUCUUUGGUGUAUGUUUGAGUAGAGGGGAAAAAGCAACAAAUAAUUGAAAUGUCAACAGAACGCAAUAAGAAUUGUGUUGAAGGACAGUUUUGUCACCUAAAGCAUAUGCUUUUAUUCUGAAACCACUUUGAAGUCUGUUCAGCAGGAUACUAAUUAUAAAAUGUAUAUAUGAAAUGCAACAGAGGUGUUUUUGUUACAUUUAUAUUGACAAACUCUUUUUCUUAGUUGUGAAGUUUAAAAUAAGCUUAAAAUAUUGAUGUUGAGCUUAAGGUUACAAUUUUCAUUCAGAUUCAUGAACAGAUUCAGUCAGACUCGACUUGGACUUGGCCUGUUAUGGACUCGGUCUAGAGUGUGUUUACAUCUGGAAGCCGGCGCGAGGCCACAUUAGGGCCAGAGUGGCACUAGACCACCCAGAUUGAUGGCUGGUCCACCCAAUCAAAACUGCAGGAAUAUAAGAACAGUUCGCAAAUAAAAAGAAACUGCAUUUUGUCGCACACAAAAUAGCUCACAUGCAAGAUAAUCAUCAUAUUCCUGUUAUAAAUAUAGUUGAAAAAUUUGUUUUUAUUGUCAAAUAAAAAGUUUGAUAUGAUUAUGGUGAACUGAAAUGGGUUGCGGCAUGCUUCUUACCGAGUCGCUCAUUUUCUCUGCGCUGCGCAGCUCUCUACAGUCAUGCCUGUAAACAGAUCCGCUUACUGCGCUUAGGACCAAGAUAAUGUAUCCACGCUUUGUCUCACUUAAUUUAUUAUUAUUAUUUUACAUGGGAGUGUGGUAGAUGUUUCUGUAGAUGACAUGGCAGGGUAUGAAAUUAGCAGGUAAUUUUGAUCAUCAUCUACCCGCAACUGUGUAGCAGGCGACCUUUAAGACUUCUUGGAAUGACAAAUGACAAGAAAUGCUGUUAGAUAUAAAUACAAGCAUUUGAAGAAGCACACUAGAUCAUAUUUUGGAAGACAGAUGAAAGAGAAGCCAUCGAUGCGCGUCUCUGAUUCGCUGUGUGUUUAGAGGUUUAUUAGUGCAUUGUGUCUCUCGGAACACGCGCAUAUAAUGAGUUCUCACUAUUUUUUCCCAGUUCGAAAUCUGGGAAUAAUUUGCAGAAAUAGAGUCAUCUAUGAGAACGCUGAAUAUGAUCUCAGACCAUCGCAGGAUGCAAGGACAUUGAGAGAGAUGAAUUGUCAUAUGUGUCAUAAUUCAGUAGCUACAACCUCAGAAAUGGGUCUUGAACAAGAAGUUUCUCUUCUGUGCUUGUCUACUCUUUAGCUUCCACUUUUAUGUAACAUUACCCAACUCUGUAGGACAGCUGUUAAGAACAUCUGAUUCACUCGCGUUUUUCACCAGACCUCUUAUUUUACAUAGACUACUAAUCAAAAGAGAUAUUUUGCGACAUUGCAGCAGCUCCACGAAGCCCAGAACAUCAGCCAAAGGAGAGUUGUCAGAUUUUAAAGAUUCGAUCUUUGGGGAAAUAGCCAAAGCUGGGUUUCCCGAUAACAUUGCAACUUAAGCCUUUAUGAUCAUCUUAACUGAUGUUGUUCAUUAUUUUACGAUGGAGUAACGCCUGUGUCCCAAACCAGCAUGCAGAUUGCUCAUUAUAAAGUUGAACUUAAGUGCUUCGUUAAGGGAGCUGUCCGGUCCAAAGGUGCAGAUCACUUUGGCAAAUAUGUCCAGGUGUUUGUCUUCUUAAAAUGAAAAUAAUGUGGAAAUACUAAUAAACAUGGAAGUUGUUUGUAACCUUGUUGAGGUGCUGAAUUGAUUAACUAUUACAGAAUUCAGUUAAAUAAAUAAUUAGGGCUUUGGUAAGAUGUUUUGCUCAACUUAUAGAGAUUAAUAAAAGUGACGCAAGGAGUGCAUGUAACGUGAAUGUACCCAAUGAGCAUCACAUCAUAAUAAGGGGAUCUCACAUAGCCUGUGUUGUUUCUUUGGCUGGAAACUGAACAGAUGCACAAAGAACAGGAUUAAAAUGAUGGACAUCAGUACUGAACUACUCCUAGACCUUUCUAAACAGAAUGAAGGCAAUCUCUCAUUGCACACUCACUCUAACCUUUGAUAAACGUAUUUUAUUUAUUUAUUUAGGUCUAUUUAUUUAAGUUUUAAACUGCAGGGUCAUUUUACUCACAUAUGUCUAAAGAAAUCUGUUUAAUGAGAUAAUCUUUCUAUUGCUAUCAUAGUUAUGAUUAUCAGAUAAGGCGAAUAAAAUGUUAUACUCUAUUAUGUGUUAUGUAAAUGUAGAUUUGUCUUUAGACCUAAUUAUAUCUAUCACAUUGCAUGCGCAGACUGUGGAGACUGCCAGUUGAUUUCAAUGCCAUUUUUUCACACUUUUUUAUCCUCUAAAACAGUGUACAAUAGCUUUCCAAUGAUCAAAAUAUAUUAAUAUAAUUUAUUAAAUGUCCCUUUGUCUCUGAUAAACUGAAAGAUACAUUUAAGUUGCACUUAAUGGACUUAAGAGUGGUUCAAAGUUCUCGUUAAUUUACAAACAUUUUCACUUAGAUAACGAUGCUUUUGGGAAACACACCGUAGAGAUGAAGUACUACUUAAGUGCUACUAAUGUUCUUCUUAGUGCUGCUUAGUGCUUCACAGCCAACAGCUGUGAAAAGCAGGAGGACUGAAAAGUGUCUAUAAUAAUGUUUUGCAAUUAUCUCUUAUUUUAAUUUGUUGUAUUUAUUUCUAUGGCCAUUUCAUUUUUCAUUGUAUAACAGGGUCAGAAAGGUGCUUUACUUAACUUUGUGUAUGACUCUUUAAUUAUAUUUAAGCUGCACUCCACCCAUUGGCUGUGUAGCGAACUGGAUCCAGUCGGGUCACUUGAGAUUCGUGCCAGCCGAGAGGGUGGUUGUGGUGGGUGAGUGGGUGAGUGCUCCCCAGAAAAAAAUAUCUGAAUUAAUUUUAUCGUAUUUUGGGGGGCUUAACAUCGACAUGUACUUUGUUUUAUCAUGUAUGAAAGUGUAUUUUAUGCUCUCUUCUCAAGCUACCAUGUUUUAUGUGUAGUAAUGUUUGAUUAAAUGUUCAUCUUCAUUAUACAACGUGCGUGAGCAUGAUUAUUGGGACUGACCACCACUUUUCAAUGUGUUUAAACAGGAACAAACUUUAUAUUUGAAAUAAUAUGUGUAAUUGUUGUAUACCUGUCCUAUAUUGUUCAUACGUAAAGAUUAAGAUUUGUGCCAGCCGAGAGAGUGUUUGUGGUGGAACAUGCGUGAGCAUGAUUAUUGAGACUGACCACCGCAUUUCAAUGCGUUUAAACAGAAUAAAAUCCACCAAAGGUGUGAGAUG